rnacentral:rRNA from 1 species
CCUACGGGAGGCUGCAGUGAGGAAUAUUGGGCAAUGGAGGCAACUCUGACCCAGCCAUGCCGCGUGAGUGAAGAAGGUUUUCGGAUUGUAAAGCUCUUUCGGCUGUGACGAUGAUGACGGUAGCCUCUAAAGAAGCCCCGGCUAACUUCGUGCCAGCAGCCGCGGUAAUACGAAGGGGGCAAGCGUUGUUCGGAUUUACUGGGCGUAAAGGGAGUGUAGGCGGUUUAGUAAGAUAGUGGUGAAAUCCCAGAGCUUAACUUUGGAAUUGCAAUUAUAACUAGUAGACUAGAAUGAAAGAGAGGAGAAUGGAAUACCCAGUGUAGAGGUGAAAUUCGUAGAUAUUGGGUAGAACACCAGUGGCGAAGGCGACUAUCUGGAUGGAAAUUGACGCUGAGGCUCGAAAGCAUGGGGAUCAAACAGGAUUAGAUACCCGAGUAGUC